rnacentral:lncRNA from 1 species
UGGAUAGUAGACAUGAUACAAACUAUCACUCAAACAAUGUGAUUAAGAGUAUUGUAUUAGAGAAAGACCGUAUUGCAUUGUAAUUGUAACUAGAUAGGUUCUCUAACCAAUUCUAUUUAGCUUGGGUAGCCAUGACACGCUGCUAGGUGUCACUCAUGGUUUGUGGAAGCCUUGAAGAUUAGCAAACACUAAUCUUAAUCAAAGGGAGAAUUGAAAUGUAGUUUCAAUUCACAAUCGAUCGUUAAGAGUAACAAUCGCCCACUGUCUCGCUAAUUGGAACCUAAUGGAUCGUACACCGAGUAAGGAUGAAAGUGAAGAAAUAUAAAUGAAAUGGAUAAGCAAUUAAAUGGUUUGAUUGAAAUAUGGUCAAGGUUAAUUAAAUAGUUAAUUAAUUAUACGAAAGGUUCGUAUUGGGCUUUUAAGUUAGUUUUAGGCUUCGGGGUCCAAAAGGGU